UACGUAGGGUGCAAGCGUUUGUCCGGAAUUAUUGGGCGUAAAGAGCUCGUAGGCGGUCUGUCGCGUCGGAUGUGAAAAUCCAGGGCUCAACCCUGGACCUGCAUUCGAUACGGGCAGACUAGAGUUCGGCAGGGGAGACUGGAAUUCCUGGUGUAGCGGUGAAAUGCGCAGAUAUCAGGAGGAACACCGGUGGCGAAGGCGGGUCUCUGGGCCGAUACUGACGCUGAGGAGCGAAAGCGUGGGGAGCGAACAGG
rnacentral:rRNA from 1 species